GAACAAGUGCAGCCUGUUAAUCAUAUCCUCUAGCAUCUUCAGUGAGAUUCGUUAACGUCGAUUGUCAUGAAGAAUAUUUUCUUAUUAUUAUUCAUUUCUCUUUUGAUAUUGAGUCUAGUAGAAGCUGGAGAACGAAUUGAUAAAAUGAAAGAGUACGCGGGAGAAGCCUGGAACAAAACUAAGUCCAAAGCCAAGGAAUGGGGAGAAAAAGGAAAGGAUGCUGCUACGAAAGCAUGGGAUAAAACUAAGGAGUUUGGAUCGAAAGUAAAAGACUGGUUUGGAUAAUUAUUCUUAUCCAUUUCAUUCUGACAGUUCUUGUAUAUUGUUUUGCAAUAUAAUUGAUAUUUAGAAUUACCGAAUUAAUUGUGAUUGUUUGUAGAAAACACACUUUAAAUGUAAUUUUUUUUUUUUUACAAUAAUAUUUUAUUCUGACAAAAAAAAUAUUAAAAAUACCGUUUUGCAAAAAACAAAAAUGUAUAU
rnacentral:lncRNA from 1 species